UACGUAGGGGGCAAGCGUUGUUCGGAAUUACUGGGCGUAAAGGGCGCGUAGGCGGUACGACAAGUCGGGAGUGAAAGCCCGGGGCUCAACCCCGGGACUGCUUUCGAAACUGUCGAACUUGAGUGCAGAAGAGGCAACUGGAAUUCCCAGUGUAGCGGUGAAAUGUGUAGAUAUUGGGAAGAGCACCUGAGGCGAAGGCGGGUUGCUGGGCUGACACUGACGCUGAGGCGCGAAAGCCAGGGGAGCGAACGGG
rnacentral:rRNA from 1 species